rnacentral:rRNA from 1 species
UACGGAGGGGACUAGCGUUGUUCGGAAUUACUGGGCGUAAAGCGCACGUAGGCGGAUUUGUAAGUCGGGUGUGAAAGCCCCGGGCUCAACCUGGGAAUUGCAUUCGAGACUGAAUAGCUAGGGUACGGUAGAGGGAAGUGGAAUUCCGGUGUAGCGGUGAAAUGCGUAGAUAUCGGAAGGAACGAAUCGAAGUGGCGAAAAGCGGAC